rnacentral:rRNA from 1 species
GAUGAACGCUGGCGGCGUGCUUAACACAUGCAAGUCGAACGAAGCACUUUAUUUGAUUUCCUUCGGGACUGAUUAUUUUGUGACUGAGUGGCGGACGGGUGAGUAACGCGUGGGUAACCUGCCUUGUACAGGGGGAUAACAGUUGGAAACGGCUGCUAAUACCGCAUAAGCGCACGGCAUCGCAUGAUGCAGUGUGAAAAACUCCGGUGGUAUAAGAUGGACCCGCGUUGGAUUAGCUAGUUGGUGAGGUAACGGCCCACCAAGGCGACGAUCCAUAGCCGACCGGGGAGGGUGACCGGCCACAUUGGGACUGAGACACGGACCAAACUCCUACGGAAGGGAGCAGUGGGGAAUAUUGCACAAUGGGCGAAAGCCUGAUGCAGCGACGCCGCGUGAGCGAAGAAGUAGUUCGGUAUGUAAAGCUCUAUCAGCAGGGAAGAUAAUGACGGUACCUGACGAAGAAGCACCGGCUAACUACGUG